UUGUAGCAAUACAACUGGCGCACGGCGCACGGGUGCGUAACACGUGGGUAACCUGCCCUUUGGUGGGGAAUAACUCCGCGAAAGCGGAGCUAAUUCCGCAUAAGAUCCGCAAGGAUGAAAGCCGCAAGGCGCCGAAGGAGGGGCCCGCGCCCGAUUAGCUAGUUGGUGAGGUAAUGGCUCACCAAGGCUUUGAUCGGUAGCUGGUCUGAGAGGAUGAUCAGCCACACUGGAACUGAGACACGGUCCAGACUCCUACGGGAGGCAGCAGUGGGGAAUCUUGCACAAUGGGCGAAAGCCUGAUGCAGCGACGCCGCGUGGGGGAUGAAGCAUUUCGGUGUGUAAACCCCUUUCGAUCCGGACGAAACCCCGCAAGGGAUUGACGGUACGGAUAUAAGAAGCCCCGGCUAACUACGUGCCAGCAGCCGCGGUAAGACGUAGGGGGCCAGCGUUGUUCGGAAUUACUGGGUGUAAAGGGUUCGUAGGCGGUGCGGCAAGUUGGGAGUGAAAUCUCUGGGCUUAACCCAGAGGCUGCUUCCAAAACUGCUGUGCUUGAGUGUGGGAGAGGCGCGUGGAAUUGCAGGUGUAGCGGUGAAAUGCGUAGAUAUCUGCAGGAACACCCGUGGCGAAAGCGGCGCGCUGGACCACUACUGACGCUGAGGAACGAAAGCUAGGGGAGCAAACAGGAUUAGAUACCCUGGUAGUCCUAGCCCUAAACGAUCAGGACUUGGGGUGCCACCCGUUCGGGUGUCGUCCCGGAGCUAACGCGUUAAGUCCUGCACCUGGGGAGUACGGUCGCAAGACUGAAACUCAAAGGAAUUGAC
rnacentral:rRNA from 1 species